CCCUUAGAUGUUCUGGGCCGCACGCGCGCUACACUGAACAGUUCAACAAGUCUUAACCUUGGCCGAUAGGUCUGGGUAAUCUUUGAACGCUGUUCGUGAUUGGGAUAGACCUUUGCAAUUAUGGGUCUUCAACGAGGAAUUCCUAGUAAACGCAAGUCAUCAGCUUGCAUUGAUUACGUCCCUGCCCUUUGUACACACCGCCCGUCGCACCUACCGAUUGAAUGGUCCGGUGAAGCCUCCGGAUUGGCGCGCACCUCGGUGCCGCCGAGAAGUUGGCUAAACCUUACCAUUUAGAGGAAGGUGAAGUCGUAACA
rnacentral:rRNA from 1 species